AAUCAACGCUGGCGGCGUGCCUAACACAUGCAAGUCGAGCGAGAAAAGGGGGGCAACUCCCUGAGUACAGCGGCGCACGGGUGAGUAACACGUGGGUAAUCUGCCCUGAAGUGGGGAAUAACACCGGGAAACCGGUGCUAAUACCGCAUAUGAUCACGGCGUCUGCGGACACAGGGAUGAAAGGAGCAAUUCGCUUCAGGAGGAGCCCGCGGCUGAUUAGCUAGUUGGUGAGGUAAUGGCUCACCAAGGCAACGAUCAGUAUCCGGUCUGAGAGGACGGUCGGACACACUGGAACUGAGACACGGUCCAGACUCCUACGGGAGGCAGCAGUGGGGAAUUUUUCGCAAUGGGGGCAACCCUGACGAAGCAACGCCGCGUGGGUGAUGAAGUCUCUUGGGACGUAAAACCUUUCGACAGGGAAGAAACCGCAAGGUUGACGGUACCUGUAGAAGAAGCCCCGGCUAACUCCGUGCCAGCCGCCGCCGUAAAAC
rnacentral:rRNA from 1 species